rnacentral:rRNA from 1 species
UACGAAGGGGGCUAGCGUGGCUCGGAAUCACUGGGCGUAAAGCGCACGUAGGCGGAUUGCUAAGUCAGGGGUGAAAUCCUGGAGCUCAACUCCAGAACUGCCUUUGAUACUGGCGACCUUGAGUCCGGGAGAGGUGAGUGGAACUGCGAGUGUAGAGGUGAAAUUCGUAGAUAUUCGCAAGAACACCAGUGGCGAAGGCGGCUCACUGGCCCGGUACUGACGCUGAGGUGCGAAAGCGUGGGGAGCAAACAGG